rnacentral:rRNA from 1 species
CGUGAGUGAUGAAGGCUCUUGGGUCGUAAAGCUCUGUCAGAGGGGAAGAACCUCCUGUCAUAUAAUACAUGGCAGGCCUGACGGUACCCUCAAAGGAAGCACCGGCUAACUCCGUGCCAGCAGCCGCGGUAAUACGGAGGGUGCAAGCGUUGUUCGGAAUUAUUGGGCGUAAAGAGCGUGUAGGCGGUUCUUCAAGUCUGAUGUGAAAGCCCUGGGCUCAACCCAGGAAGUGCAUUGGAAACUGAAGAACUUGAGUACGGGAGAGGAAAGUGGAAUUUCGAGUGUAGGGGUGAAAUCCGUAGAUAUUCGAAGGAACACCAGUGGCGAAGGCGGCUUUCUGGACCGAUACUGACGCUGAGACGCGAAAGCGUGGGGAGCAAACAGGAUUAGAUACCCUGGUAGUCCACGCCGUAAACGAUGGGUACUAGGUGUUGCGGGUAUUGACCCC